GACGAACGCUGGCGGCGUGCUUAACACAUGCAAGUCGAACGGUGAAAGCGGAGCUUGCUCCGCUGGAUCAGUGGCGAACGGGUGAGUAACACGUGGGCAACCUGCCCCUCACUUCGGGAUAACUCCGGGAAACCGGGGCUAAUACCGGAUAUGACCUCCUUGGGCAUCCUUGGAGGUGGAAAGUUUUUCGGUGAGGGAUGGGCCCGCGGCCUAUCAGCUUGUUGGUGAGGUAGUGGCUCACCAAGGCGACGACGGGUAGCCGGCCUGAGAGGGCGACCGGCCACACUGGGACUGAGACACGGCCCAGACUCCUACGGGAGGCAGCAGUGGGGAAUAUUGCGCAAUGGGCGAAAGCCUGACGCAGCAACGCCGCGUGCGGGAUGACGGCCUUCGGGUUGUAAACCGCUUUCAGCAGGGAAGAAGCCGCAAGGUGACGGUACCUGCAGAAGAAGCUCCGGCUAACUACGUGCCAGCAGCCGCGGUAA
rnacentral:rRNA from 1 species